UACGUAGGCAGCAAGCGUUGUUCGGAGUUACUGGGCGUAAAGGGUGUGUAGGCGGUUCUUUAAGUUUGGUGUGAAAUCUCCCGGCUCAACUGGGAGGGUGCGCCGAAUACUGAGGGACUAGAGUACGGGAGAGGAAAGUGGAAUUCCUGGUGUAGCGGUGAAAUGCGUAGAUAUCAGGAGGAACACCGGUGGUGUAGACGGCUUUCUGGACCGUAACUGACGCUGAGACACGAAAGCGUGGGGUAGCAAACAGG
rnacentral:rRNA from 1 species